rnacentral:rRNA from 1 species
UACAGAGGUCUCAAGCGUUGUUCGGAUUCAUUGGGCGUAAAGGGUGCGUAGGCGGCGCGGUACGUCGGGUGUGAAAUCUUGGAGCUUAACUCCGAGACUGCAUUCGAUACUGCCGUGCUUGAGGACUGGAGAGGAGACUGGAAUUUACGGUGUAGCGGUGAAAUGCGUAGAUAUCGGGAAGAACACCAGUGGCGAAGGCGGCUGCCUGGCCUGUAACUGACGCUGAGACGCGAAAGCGUGGGGAGCGAACCGG